rnacentral:misc_RNA from 1 species
UCCUGGUUAACCCAGGCAGUCUCAUUAGAGUUCCCACCUUAAAUGUUGGCAACUAAUGAUAAGGGUUGCGCUCGUUGCGGGACUUAACCCAACACCUCACGGCACGAGCUGACGACAGCCAUGCAGCACCUGUGCAGCAGUCCCGAAGGAAAGGCCUAUUUCUAGACCGGUCUACUGCAUGUCAAGUCUGGGUAAGGUUCUUCGCGUUGCAUCGAAUUAAACCACAUGCUCCACUGCUUGUGCGGGUCCCCGUCAAUUCUUUUGAGUUUCAGCCUUGCGACUGUACUCCCCAGGCGGUAUACUUAACGCGUUAGCUACGGCACAACUAGGGUUGAGUCCAGUUACACCAAGUAUACAUAGUUUACGGCAAGGACUAC